rnacentral:rRNA from 1 species
CUGAUAAGACUGCCUGCGCAAGCAGAGAGGAAGAGGGGACGACGUCAAGUCAUCAUGGCCCUUACGCCCAGGGCGACACACGUGCUACAAUGGCGCAUACAGCGGGUAGCUACCUGGUAACAGGAUGCCAACCUCUAAAAGUGCGUCUCAGUUCGGAUUGGGGUCUGCAACCCGACCCCAUGAAGCUGGAAUCGCUAGUAAUCGCGCAUCAGCCAUGGCGCGGUGAAUACGUUCCCGGACCUU